CCCCUAGAUGUUCUGGGCCGCACGCGCGCUACACUGAACAGUUCAACAAGUCUUAACCUUGGCCGAUAGGUCUGGGUAAUCUUUGAACGCUGUUCGUGAUUGGGAUAGACCUUUGCAAUUAUGGGUCUUCAACGAGUAAUUCCUAGUAAACGCAAGUCAUCAGCUUGCAUUGAUUACGUCCCUGCCCUUUGUACACACCGCCCGUCGCACCUACCGAUUGAAUGGUCCGGUGAAAUCUCGGGACGGCGGCUUGGUCGCUUGCGUCCGACUGCUGAAACUUGAUUAAACCAUAUCAUUUAGAGGAAGGUGAAGUCGUAACA
rnacentral:rRNA from 1 species